rnacentral:misc_RNA from 1 species
GAUGAAGAACGUAGCGAAACGCGAUAGGUAAUGUGAAUUGCAGAAUUCAGUGAAUCAUCGAAUCUUUGAACGCACAUUGCGCCCGCCAGUAUUCUGGCGGGCAUGCCUGUCUGAGCGUCAUUUCAACCCUCAUGCCCCUAGGGCGUGGUGUUGGGGAUCGGCCAAAGCCCGCGAGGGACGGCCGGCCCCUAAAUCUAGUGGCGGACCCGUCGUGGCCUCCUCUGCGAAGUAGUGAUAUUCCGCAUCGGAGAGCGACGAGCCCCUGCCGUUAAACCCCCAACUUUCCAAGGUUGACCUCAGAUCAGGUAGGAAUACCCGCUGAACUUAAGCAUAUCAAUAAGCGGAGGA